rnacentral:rRNA from 3 species
CAACUUUCAACAACGGAUCUCUUGGCUCUCGCAUCGAUGAAGAACGCAGCGAAAUGCGAUAACUAAUGUGAAUUGCAGAAUUCAGUGAAUCAUCGAGUCUUUGAACGCACCUUGCGCCCUUUGGUAUUCCAAAGGGCAUGCCUGUUUGAGUGUCAUUA